ACUUCAGUUGCUUCUUGGGUUUUGAAUGCAAUAAGAAAAUAAAGAAUUGGUAUUUUCUUCGCAAGAUCAAGUUUAAAGAUCGAAUAAGAAGACUACGUUAUCGUCCAAUACUAAAAAAGCACUUAUUCUUUCCCUUCAAUCUAAAAAGUUAUAUAUGUCAUUCUUGAAGGUUGCUUGUGCUUAAACAAAGCAAUGCAACUUUCUUGUUAACCAUUUUUAAAUAUACCCAAUAUAUUCAAAAACUGUUAUGUUAGAUUCGUCAUUUGCCUUACUAUAGACACAAUUCAU
rnacentral:lncRNA from 1 species